rnacentral:rRNA from 1 species
UACGUAGGGUGCGAGCGUUGUCCGGAAUUAUUGGGCGUAAAGGGCUCGUAGGCGGUUUGUCGCGUUGUCCGUGAAAACUCACAACUCAAUUGUGGGCGUGCGGGCGAUACGGGCAGACUGGAGUACUGCAGGGGAGACUGGAAUUCCUGGUGUAGCGGUGGAAUGCGCAGAUAUCAGGAGGAACACCGGUGGCGAAGGCGAGUCUCUGGGCAGUAACUGACGCUGAGCAACGAAAGCAUGGGGAGCGAACAGG